AAACUCCUUCCUUCAUCCAACAAAAGGUGUUUCAAGUUUGUCAAAAUUUGGAUGUAUUUAGACAUGACUUAGUAUAUAGAUGCAUUCAAAUUUAGUCAAAGUUGAGACAUCCUUUGUUGGACGGAGGAAAUAGUAA
rnacentral:pre_miRNA from 1 species